rnacentral:misc_RNA from 1 species
GAUGAAGAACGUAGUGAAAUGCGAAAAGUAGUGUGAAUUGCAGAAUUCCGUGAAUCAUCGAAUCUUUGAACGCACAUUGCGCCCCUCGGUAUUCCGUGGGGCAUGCCUGUUCGAGCGUCAUUUACACCCUCAAGCUCUGCUUGGUGUUGGGCGUCUGUCCCGCUUUAUGCGUGGACUCGCCCCAAAGUCAUUGGCAGCGGUCGUGCCAGCUUCUCGCGCAGCACAUUUGCGUUUCUUGAAGUUUGGUGGAUCAGCAUCCAGUAAGUUCUUUUAUGACUUGACCUCGGAUCAGGUAGGGAUACCCGCUGAACUUAAGCAUAUCAAUAAGCGGAGGA